CAGUUGCCGUGCUUGAUUUGAUCUUAUUUUUUCACCAAAGGAGCCCUAUAAACCAACAACAGCAACGGGUUGUUAGCCUCUAUAAGUCAUUCAGCAGUCUAAACAUAAUGCUUAAUAUGCUGACACUUGCCUUUUAUAUCGAGCUUAUUGCCCGGUUGCAAGGCAAAUCUUUACUGGGAUAUUUCAUCCCCAUUUCAAUAUUUUCUUUGGGAAUAUGUGCAUGUUUUAUUGCCGAAACGUAUCUGCAGUCAUUCAGACAUUUCUAUCUGGCUCAGAAAAUCCUUUUGGGGAUUUUAUUCUCACUGCACCCAAUAUUAAGUCUCCUGUAUCUACGUCAGAUUCCAGACAAUGACAAUGGAUGGCGCCCUCCUCUGGCGACACACUACAAGAUGCUCUCCCCCUACUUUCUAGCAUUUUUAUAUGUGUAGCUUGCCAUUUUAUUGUCUAUCACUGCCAUACUUGAGGCAUAAUAUUCCAGCAAACCUUUUCAUUCCUGA